rnacentral:rRNA from 1 species
GAUGAACGCUGGCGGCGUGCCUAAUACAUGCAAGUCGAGCGAACGGACGAGAAGCUUUCUUCUUUGAUGUUAGCGUCGGACGGGUGAGUAACACGUGGAUAACCUACCUAUAAGACUGGGAUAACUUCGGGAAACCGGCGCUAAUACCGGAUGAUAUUCUGAACCGCAUGGUUCAUAAGUGAAAGACGGUCUUCCUGUCACUUAUUGACGGAUCCCUGCUGCGUUAGAUAGUUGGUAAGGUCACGGCUUUCUACGGCAACGAUGAGUAGCCGACCUGAGAGGGUGGAAGACCACACUGGAAAAAAAACACGGUCCGGACGACUGAGGUAGGCAGCAGUAGGAAAUCUUGCGCAGUGGGCGGAAGCCUGACGCAGCAGCGGCGCGUGGGUGAUAAAGGUAUGCGGAUCGGAAAACUCUGUUAUUAGGGAGGAAGAUAUGUAUAAGUAACUGAGGACAUCUUGACGGUACCUAGUCAAAAAGCCACGGCUAACUUCGUG